AGUGAACGCUGGCGGUAGGCCUAACACAUGCAAGUCGAACGGCAGCACAGUAAGAGCUUGCUCUUACGGGUGGCGAGUGGCGGACGGGUGAGGAAUACAUCGGAAUCUACUUUUUCGUGGGGGAUAACGUAGGGAAACUUACGCUAAUACCGCAUACGACCUACGGGUGAAAGCAGGGGAUCUUCGGACCUUGCGCGAUUGAAUGAGCCGAUGUCGGAUUAGCUAGUUGGCGGGGUAAAGGCCCACCAAGGCGACGAUCCGUAGCUGGUCUGAGAGGAUGAGCAGCCACAAUGGAACUGAGACACGGUCCAGACUCCUACGGGAGGCAGCAGUGGGGAAUAUUGGACAAUGGGCGCAAGCCUGAUCCAGCCAUACCGCGUGGGUGAAGAAGGCCUUCGGGUUGUAAAGCCCUUUUGUUGGGAAAGAAAAGCAGCAGGUUAAUACCCCGCUGUUCUGACGGUACCCAAAGAAUAAGCACCGGCUAACUUCGUG
rnacentral:rRNA from 1 species